UUCUCCCAUACCCAUCCAAAACCCGUAACCCGUUUUCCCCAGACCCCUGAAGCUCGUCUUCUUCGACGAGACUAGCCUCACCAGCUCCUCCGUUCACCAAGUCUCGCUAGAAAUGGCAAUCAGCAGUGACGAAAGGCCAUGGACGUGACUGAAACCUUUGUUAAUCGUCUGAGUUUUCCGGCAAGGCAUUUGAUUUUCGAGUCGAAGUCCUAGCCGCCGAUUCAGGGAAUGGUUCGAGGUCUGAUUCAGUUACUGCUCAGCAACGCACACACACACCUAUCGUCUUCUUCACAUCACAACUGGAUGACCCCAGCCCGCCACCAACAGACUCGUCGCAGACUCCAGCAGUUCCCAGUUGUGUCUCUUUUCAACUUCCUCACUCGAGAGACCAUCCCUUUAAAAAAAACAAAAAAAUAUUCUGGUUUUCUUCUUUCAUUUUUCCGACUUUCGUCUCAAAAUCAGAGGCAUUGUCUUUCAAUUUUCGUUCCAAAAUGGAGGUCAGUAGAGUUUGUAUGUGGAUUUGAAAUUGAUUGUGCCGAUUCGAGGUCCGUUUUUGAAUUUUGUGGCUGUUUCGGUGAGUUUCGAGAUCGGGUCAUGGUUCCGUUCGAGGUUUUUGAUGAAGCUCUAGUUCUACAGUUUGAGGACAUCAUUUGGUUAGUAUUUCAGGAAUUUUUACAAUUGUAAAGGUUCGAUAUUAUUUCAGAUUUUCAUUAGUGCUUAUACUCUUUAUUUGCUCUUUGGUUGAAAUUCCUUCACAUGUUCCAAUUAGUUAUGUUCUUGAUACAUUCUGUUGCGGAUUGUUUGUGUGAGUUUUGUUAUUUUAAUCUGAUUCUUUUAUGGUUUAAAUUUUUGAGCACUUGAUUCAUUGGGGUUGAGUUAAGAUAGUCAUGGCCCUUCGAUUAUAUAGACCUGAACCCAUUUAGUUGAAUUAGCCUAAGAAUUGUUUAAUAAAAGGGAUUAUCUACCUAACCAACUAAAGAAGCUUCUAGUAGUGGUAAGGAUUAGAUUUCACUAUUGAAAAAUUUAAUUCAAUAAGGGUUGAGUGGAAUCAAUUUUUAAAAUGUUGAAAGGCCAUUUUGUGAUUCAAAAGGGCAUUUCCAUUUGACUUUUUAAGACACAUACACUGAGUUCAUACAGAGGGGAGAGAGAGUCCAAAGAAGAAGAAAAGAAAUAGAGAGAUUCUUAAGAGAUAAAAUCCAUAAAAAAACCACUGGCAUUUACUAUUUUAUUGAUCUUUCUUCAAGACUUUCUGAUUUUCUUCAAUUUCUUAAGAUAAAGGUUUCCUAUUCUGAUAUUUGAAAAAAAAUGGAUUGAUGUUUGGUGGUUGGAAAAUCUUUUUGAUCAAAAUCUGCUCAGAGUCACUGUGCUAUUGGUAUCUGAUUUCAAUUUCUGAGGUUCGAGAGUUAUUGAACCUAUUCUGGUUCAUCUGGGCUUGCAAGUAUUUUAAGUCAAGGGUUGUGGUUUAGUUCUUUGCCGUUUGAUCUGCUGUCACUGCUUCUCCUGAUUCUCAGAUUGAUUUUGGUUCUAUCUCUUGUCAUUAUUCAGUUGUAUUGUUGAUUUGCAGAGCUUUAUUUCCGAAUAUGUUUGUUCGUCUUUAAGCUGCUGUUUCAACUCGAUUCGGAAUGGUACACAUUCUCGAGAUUGAUUUGAUGUAGCUUUUGAAUUGAAAUGCUGAAAUAAAAGGCUCCCCUAUUUACCUCUUGAAGUGCGCGCGUUCAAGUUGUUAUACUAGAAUAGAUACUAGAUAAUUGGUAUUUGUUUAGGUUUACUUUUGAUUUGUGUUGCAUAAUUGGACUGGCCGAAUCAUUAAUUUGUAAUGAACUGUAUUGAAAUGAUGAACUAUUAAGUGUGAGUGUAUUCAUAUUGAACCA